rnacentral:rRNA from 1 species
AUGAACGCUAGCUACAGGCUUAACACAUGCAAGUCGAGGGGCAGCAUGAACUUAGCUUGCUAAGUUUGAUGGCGACCGGCGCACGGGUGAGUAACACGUAUCCAACCUCCCGCUUACUCAGGAAUAGCCUUUCGAAAGAAAGAUUAAUGCCUGAUGGUAUCUUAAGCACACAUGUAAUUAAGAUUAAAGAUUUAUCGGUAAGCGAUGGGGAUGCGUUCCAUUAGGUAGUAGGCGGGGUAACGGCCCACCUAGCCUGCGAUGGAUAGGGGUUCUGAGAGGAAGGUCCCCCACAUUGGAACUGAGACACGGUCCAAACUCCUACGGGAGGCAGCAGUGAGGAAUAUUGGUCAAUGGGCGCGAGCCUGAACCAGCCAAGUAGCGUGAAGGAUGAAGGUCCUACGGAUUGUAAACUUCUUUUAUACGGGAAUAAAGUGGCCUACGUGUAGGCUUUUGCAUGUACCGUAUGAAUAAGCAUCGGCUAACUCCGUGCCAGCAGCCGCGGUAAUACGGAGGAUGCGAGCGUUAUCCGGAUUUAUUGGGUUUAAAGGGAGCGCAGACGGGGGAUUAAGUCAGUUGUGAAAGUUUGCGGCUCAACCGUAAAAUUGCAGUUGAUACUGGUUCCCUUGAGUGCAGUUGAGGCAGGCGGAAUUCGUGGUGUAGCGGUGAAAUGCAUAGAUAUCACGAAGAACCCCGAUUGCGAAGGCAGCCUGCUAAGCUGUAACUGACGUUGAGGCUCGAAAGUGUGGGUAUCAAACAGGAUUAGAUACCCUGGUAGUCCACACGGUAAACGAUGGAUACUCGCUGUUGGCGAUAUACUGUCAGCGGCCAAGCGAAAGCAUUAAGUAUCCCACCUGGGGAGUACGCCGGCAACGGUGGAACUCAAAGGAAUUGACGGGGGCCCGCACAAGCGGUGGAGCAUGUGGUUUAAUUCGAAGCAACGCGAAGAACCUUACCAGGUCUUGACAUCGAUCUAAAGGCUCCAGAGAUGGAGAGAUAGCUAUAGAGAAGACAGGUGGUGCAUGGUUGUCGUCAGCUCGUGCCGUGAGGUGUCGGCUUAAGUGCCAUAACGAGCGCAACCCUCGUGGCCAGUUACUAUCAGGUAAGGCUGAGGACUCUGGCCAGACUGCCAUCGUAAGAUGCGAGGAAGGUGGGGAUGACGUCAAAUCAGCACGGCCCUUACGUCCGGGGCUACACACGUGUUACAAUGGGAGGUACAGAAGGCAGCUACCCGGCGACGGGAUGCCAAUCCCGAAAGCCUCUCUCAGUUCGGACUGGAGUCUGCAACCCGACUCCACGAAGCUGGAUUCGCUAGUAAUCGCGCAUCAGCCACGGCGCGGUGAAUACGUUCCCGGGCCUUGUACACACCGCCCGUCAAGCCAUGAAAGCCGGGGGUACCUGAAGUGCGUAACCGCAAGGAGCGCCCUAGGGUAAAACCGGUAAUUGGGGCU